AAUUAAAUGUAUAUUUUAUGUGCGUUUAAACUAUAAAUAUAAAAUUUUUGUUUAGCACAAAACGGGUUAGAGCCAGGUUGGUUAGGCGUCUCAUUUGGGUUGAGAAAUUGUUAUGUUCGAAUCAUAAUAACCCGAUAAAAACAAAAUACAGUAUAACAUAAUUAUAGUAUUUAUUUAAUAUAGUUGAUUUGUUGAUAUAAACAUAUAAUAUUAUCAUUAAUGAUAAUUAGUAUAUAAAGGAAUUAUUCGGGAAUCAAAGGCUGUAUAUUAAAGAGACUUAAAAUUACAAUAUAUAUUAACCUAAUGUAUAAAAUUUAUACAAUUGAAAGGGAAAAUAUAAUAUGAACUCUAAGAGAAAUUAAGUAAUAAACAAAGUGAAUUGAAAUAUCUUAUUAACUUUAGGAAUAUAAAUCAAACGAGAUUCUAUUAUUAGUGUGAAUGAACGUAGAAAGGCCUAACGCUUCGCGUUAAAUAAAUAAAAUGGAUUAUAAUCUGUUUGAAUAUAGGGGAACCUUCCUCUAAGGCUAAAUAUAAUAUACAAGCGAUAGUGAACUAGUACCGUGAGGGAAAAUGAAGAAAGAGUAAUUUCAUAAGAAGUCCGAGUUAAAAUAAAAAGAAAUAAGGACGUACCUUUUGCAUAAUGGGUCAGCAAGUUAAUGUUAGAUGCGAGCAUUCACGCACGCUUUGCGUGGCGUAUGUUUGCCUAGAUAAACCAAUUAUGAAAAAAUGAAUAAGUAUCUAAUAUUAGACCCGAAGUCCAGUGAUCUUACCAUGGUCAGGGUUAUAAAGGCCCGAACGGGUUAUCGUUGCAUAGAUAUCCGAAGAACUGUGGUAAGUUAGUGAAAGACAAACCUGACUGGAAUAGCUGGUUUUCCGCGAAACCUAUCUAAGUAGGUAGUUUAAAUAACAUCUUAGCAGGUACAUAACCGCACCUCUGACAAAAUAAAUUUAUUUUGUACACAUCGGGGGAUUGGAAAAUUCUAUCGGUGAGUGUAUGUAAUCGGAAGGGAAAAGAUAGUGUAACACAAUAUUGAACAAUCGGACAUAGUGCGAUAAGGUUGUAUGUCAAGAGGGAAACAGCCCAGAACAAGAGUAAAUAAGGUUCCAAAAUUAUUGUUAAGUGAAAAUAAGGAGGUCAUUAUCGAAUACAACCAGGAAAUAGGCUUAGAAGCGGCCAUUUUUUGAAGAUCUCGUAACAGAGCACUGGUUAACAUUACGUAUAUAUAUACGUACAUAUAGUGGCACCGAAAAUUUAACGGAUCUAAAUAAUAUACCGAUACCUUGUCUACGUAAUAUGAUGAAUUCAUCAUGAACGUGGAGUAGCGGAACGUUGGGUAAAUUUAAGAUAUUUUCUUUUUAAGCAAAUAAAGAUAAUUACCCAAGUGACAAUGCUGACAUGAGUAACGAAAAAGGGUAAUUAAACCCUCGCCUUAAGCUUAUGAUAGUUUAAAAGUAACGGCCUCUAAGUUAUAAACCCUAAAGGGUUUAACGAUGAGAAAAUCUAUCAUAUAUAUACAACCUUUAUAUAAAAAUAAAAUGGCGUUAAUUUAAUUAAUGUUAAGCUUUCAUUGUAUUUUUAUUUAAGUGUAAAGUGUGCAGGAAAUAUAUAUAUGUAACAAAUUAUACCGUGUCUAGGAACUUAAAGGUAAGCUAGUAGAGAAUACGAAGGCGUUGAGUUAACUAUUAUUAAGGAACUCGGCAAAUUGACUUGCGUAACUUCGGGAUAAGCAGAGCCAUUCCUUCUGAUUAAUAUCAGAUAAAGAAGAGGAGGCAUAGAAUAGUGUUGUACGACUGUUUAAUUAAAACAAAGCACUUCGCGUAAGAUUUUAAAUCAAAGUAUUGAGUGUGAUGUCUGCCCUAUAUCGGCUGGUUAACGGAUUUACUUAAUAAAAGGUUAGGUUUAGAAGGAAACCCCGAUCAAUGGCGGCCUUAACUAUGAGGGUCCUAAGGUAGCGAAAUACCUUGGCCGUUAAAUGCGGUCUUGCAUGAAUGAUUUCACGAUACAACAGCUGUCUCAAUAAUAGUCUCAGUGAAAUUACAAUAACUGUGCAGAUGCAGUUUACCUCUAGUUAGACGAGAAGACCCUUUGCAGCUUUACUGUUAUUAAUUAUUGAAUAUGAUAUAGUGGGUAUUAGAGUAUAAGGUAAUUGAUUAGAUAAAAUUGAAACACCUUUACCCUGCUUAUCAUAUAUAUAGAAGAUAUUUACAUUGUUAGCUACAAUAUAAGUAAAAUUUAUUACACUUAUUCACAAAGAAAUAAUGUGAAAACAGUUGUUGAUAGACAGUUUAUGCGGGGCACAGAUCCCACAAAUAGUACCUGGGUAUAUCCAAAGUUAAUUUGGUAAAUUAAUAUAUUGAAUCUGAUAGAUUUAAUAUAUUUACUAUAUAAGAUAUACUUUUCGCUUAGCGUUAAGUUAUCUUAUCUAUUUAGUUUGUAAUAAAAAAAUAAUCAGUACCAUCCUAUUGGGUUAGGGCCAAUUUAUUCUUUUAAGUAGGAUUUUAAUUAUAUCGAAAAUAGUUGUAAGAAAACAAAACAUAGUUAUGCUAGUUUAUGUUUAAUAGUCUUCUCUUAUAUUGCUUUGCAUUUAUAAGGUUGAUAAGUGAUAUUUACACGAAAAGCUUAAUGGCUAAUUCUUGCUUUACUGUUUGACUUACAAGUCUAUCAGUCGCGUAAGCGGGGCAUAUGAUCACAAGAUGCAGAAAGGAAAGGUCUUGGAUUUUUGAAAAAGCUACGCUAGGGAUUAAUGUUAGUCCUCCAAUAUAAUAUAAUAUAUUGGUAAUUAAAUAGGGUAAAUUUCAAAGAAUACUUAAACAUUGUAUUAAGUAAAUUUGAAGCGAAAUAUUAUUAAUAAACAUAAUAAACGU
rnacentral:rRNA from 1 species